GCUAUUGCAUACUAUUCAAUUUGUGGAGAAUAAAAAGUUGACCAACUGUACGAAUACGUAGACGCUUUAAAUACCCAUCCAUUACAUAAGAAGAAGUUGGUAACAAGAUACGAAGAAGAGUGAACAUAACAUGCAAGGAACAUAAUAAAAUGAGAAAGUUUUUCUUAUCCUUGGAAAUCGCGACAAAGGGAAUUUGAUAUGCCACGGCAAGGAGGAAGUGAAAAUACAAGCCUUUUAUUCGCUGCUGGCAGACUUGACAACUUCUGAAUGUCAUAACAGCCAUACCGUUCUUUUCCCAGCAAUAUCUGAAUGGUAAGAUACACGCAUUUGUACUCUUCUUAUAUAGCGCCAAUUCGCAAUACAACAUCCUUAAACUUGUACGUCUAUUUUCAGGUUUACGCUUUUAGUACCACAAAAUAGAUAUUCCGAUAUGGUGGGUAUUUUUAAGAAUAAAUGGGUACUUAGUAUUGAAGACCGGAGGUAACGUAUCAAACGUCGCUGUUGUCUGCAUUUGUGGCGUCUGCUUGCAAUGUCCACGUCUUUAAAUUACCUCAAUUUUCAGGUCCUGACGAAGGUAGGUUUUUUGUUUGUGGUGUCUGCGGCUGUCCUCGUCUCUUUUGGCUUUGUCGUCUGCUUUUUCCGUGUGCGCAGUAUGACAACCACUCCCAAUCCUUGUCUGGAGUAUCGAGAUGCUCGUUAUCUAUCCGACGAUUGUGGAAACCAUAGCAGCACUGGAUACUGCGCGCAAAGCAACAGCGCAUGUCUGCCUUCCGAGGACGGCUUGGACUGGACUUGUAGAUGUAUCCAUGGCCAUUACAACCACAACUCGUCGUGUGUUCCAGUUCCAAGUUCCCUUUUCGAACACAAGGUUAUGGCUUUGGGCAGUCUUAAAUCUGACAGGAUUGUUUCACUAUCACAGGAAGAUACAAAUAAUUCAGAACAUUUGUUUGAAUUCGGAGAUGCUGUUGAAGAUGUUAACAGCAAUAGUAGUAAUUGUGUGAUCAGGACCUUCAAUUCCGGAUUUAAUUGCUCCUUAAACAGUUCAGGAAUUAUUGUCGGUGUUAACAAAGUCCUUGACAGUGCAUUAUAUCACGUGAUAGUACACGUUACUUUACAAAUUGGGUCGGAAAAUGCAGAAGUUGAAGAUACACUCUCGAUAUUAUUUGAGGCCCAGGCGACUCAACAGAAUCAGACUAUACUUAUUGCCGAAGGAACAUUAAAAGAUACACUGAUAACCACGGUAGAUCUAAAAGUAAAUGACACCAAUCCAUCAAUACAAGGAAACGCCCACUUCUUGAGCAUGGAAUCCAAUGGACUAGUGAAGACUAAUCAAACGACAUUGCUAGACACAGAUUUCGUCUCUCAAAUGUUUACAGCAAUUGUCUAUGAUAAUAUCUUCCUUAACAUUGUAGUAUAUAAGCUGUCUCAUCAAAUAAGCAUUAACGAGAACACAAAUGGUACUGUUAUUUGCAAAACUGAUCAAAGGGUUAACAGUGCGUUAUUACAGACUAAGGACUAUUUGCUGUUACUGCCCGACGGGUCAAUAGUAGUGAAAGAACCGUUUGAUUAUGAAAUGAUUAAAGAAUACACGUUUGAUUUGUUCGGUCAGGUUGACGAUAAAAACUUUACGAUUAAAAUAGCUUUAAAUAUUCUGGACGUAAACGACAAUCCACCUAUUCUCGGCAAUAAUUACAUAUUCAUUGUAACCAACUCACAGCUCCGUGCCUUUGUGGGUGUGGUCUCGGCGACUGAUCCAGACACCGUUGGAGUACUGAACUACAGUAUCACAGAUGAGGGCGGAGAUUCCAGAUUCCUGAUAGGUUCUUUCGGUGAGGUGUCCAUGGUGAACACAAGGAGGGGAGGUAAUGCCAUAGUUACUGUGACGGACGGCGUGUUCUACGUCAACGCUUCCGUCACAGUUAAUGUCGUGUCUGCCGAGACCAAUGAUACUCACGAAACGUUUGUCUUUAAUUGUAAUGUAUCUGAAAACAGUACAAAAGGGACAUCUUUCUGCAACGUCUCCGUAAAAGGAUACAUUAAAUAUGCUUUUGACCAUCAGAGUGACCGGACUAAAUUCAACUUGAAUAGCAAUACGGGAGAUAUAACUACGAACGCUCCACUGGAUAGGGAAGAUAUUGACCAUUACGACUACUCCGUGACAGCAAUACAAAGCGAACACUCCUGUAAAUUCGCAACUAUUCGAGUGAAAAUCUCGGUACUGGAUGAAAAUGACGAAACACCAAUGUUUGAUCUACCGGUAUAUAGAGGAAAAAUUCGAGAAAAUGCGAAUGGUACCAAAGUUACGUUGGAACCCCCAUUAAAAGUAACGGACAGAGAUUUGAAUUCCACUUUCACAUUCAGUAUCUCUGGAACUACUUUUACUAUCAAUUCCAACGGAGAGAUUUAUUCGAACAAGAAUAUAGACAGGGAGACACAGUCCAGCUAUAGCUUAACUGUGAUGGUCAAGGAUGGAAAACAUAAUAAUACUUCCAUCGUGGAGAUUUCAGUGGAAGACAUGAACGAUAAUCCGCCAAUGGCUUCUAACAUGACAUUCUCAGUUUUAGAAAACGCAACAGAAGACACAGACAUUGGACAGGUCCUUGCAACAGAUGCAGACAUAGGAAUAAAUGCGCAGCUCAUCUUUACAGACGCAAGCUCUGGAUACUUUGAAGUGAAUACCACUGGAUUCUUGAAAGUCAACCGAUUGUUGGAUAGAGAGACAAAAGAUAAAUAUGUUUUCACUGUCAGGGUCUGUGACAGUGGAAGGGACAUAUCAUGGUGUAUAAAUCCCUGGAUCACUGUCAAUAUAACGGACGUAAACGAAGCGCCUAGGUUUAAAUAUAAUAAAGAAGUACAUGUUUUUCGUAUACCAGAGAAUUCCAACUGUUCUUCAAUAUCAGAUCUGACAGAAUUCUUUGUAGACGGAGAUCUUGGUGUCAACAGAGAACUUAACUUCAGCGUUUUGAGCGGGUCGGAUACAUUUCACAUCGAUUCCAAUGGAAAACUUUCCUGUCCCGGCUUAGACUACGACGAUAGCUUGAAUAAGGUGUAUGAAUUAACUAUCCAGGCUACUGACAGAGGAGACCCUCCCUUGUUUACGAAUGGAACCAUAAUUAUCGUUGUUGAAGAUGUUAACGAUAAUGCCCCUAUACCUAGUGAUGAAACCAACUUCGAAAUUGUGUUUUACAGCGGGGGAUGUCAAAGGUGCUCUAAACUGGUGGCACUAAUUACUGCAACAGACAAGGAUUCUGGUAGCAAUGGAGAAAUAGAGUUUCAAGAAAUUCGUGGUAAUGCCAGUACUUUUCUCGAAAUAGACAACAGCACUGGAUUAAUUGAAGCAUCCACUAAUGAUACGAGUUUGGCUAAUGGAACUUACCUGUAUAUUGUGAAUAUUACCGAUAAAGGCACUCCGUCCCGUGGUACAACAGUCACUCUCUCAUUUAACGUUGCUGUAUUAAUGAACACUCAAAUUUCUAGAGUUUUUAACAAGACCAAACUAAUAUUUAAUUGGAUUGAGAAUGUUGCUUUUCCUUCACCUUUCAUUCCUGUUAAAAUUUUCACAAUAAACCCGGCCAUGUACAUUGAGAAAUUUGUUUUGCCCAACUACAACCUUGGGGAUUUUUACCUAAAUGGUUCUGAGCAAGAAUUUCUUUACGUGAACAGAACCAAACAUUCAACGUUUUUCGACCGAGAAACACAACACCAGUACAGGUUUAUUAUCCAAGCAAAACUUCCUCUCUACAGCAUGCUUGCUGAGUUAACCAUUAAUAUCAUUGAUGUCAAUGACAAUCCGCCUCGAUUCCAAUCUGACAUAGCACAGGUAGCUCUCAUCAAAGAGAAUUACCCCAACGGCACGUCUCUAAACCUUACGUUUGUUGCAACGGACAGAGAUGAGGGUGAAAAUGCCCAAAUAGCUUACAAGAUUUCAAACGAGAAUUGUGACAAUGUUUUUCAACUUAACAAUUCUGAUUCCGGAAAUAUUGUUCUAAUUGGAAAACUGGAUUAUGAAGAUAAAGAGUACUGCAAUUUGACUCUUACGGUAUUCAACCCGAAUAAUGAAACCAUGCAGUCUUCCGUCGAUGUUCAUAUCGAGAUUGAAGAUGUCAACGAUAACUCGCCGUUAUUUGAUCAGUCCGUUUACCAUGUAUCCAUCAAUGAGACGGUCCAAGACCCGGUAGAGGAAGAAGUCUUGGUAUAUAUCGAUGGGUUAAAUGUAACCGAUCGAGAUUCCAGACAAUUCGGAGUAAAGGGUGUUCGAAUUUCCAUCGAAAGACCAUCCGAAUGUCCUCUAUUAGUUAAAGAACACAAAGUUGACAAUUUUGUUCUGAUGAUUAACCAGAGUAUGACAUUAGACUAUGAGUCUACCAUCAACUUUAACUGUACAUUGAGAGCAACGGAUGGAGGUAAUUUGUCAUCAACUGCACUUUUGGAAAUCGAACUACUUGACAUAAAUGACAACUCGCCAGAGGCAGAUGACGUCAUUGAGAGAGAAAUCCCGCGAAGUUCGGAGAUCGACUACGUGAUUGUUAGCCAAAUAAAUGCUACUGACAGAGACAGCGGCAGAAAUGCUUUAUUAUCAUUUGAAUUCAACACCACUAAUAAUAACACCGAUGGUAGAUAUAGUUACUUUGAAAUAAAUGAUACAAAUGGAAAAAUAUCUAUCGCAAAGAAUUUGACGACUCUUCAGUUGGACUCGGUAGAGCUUACAGUCAUUGUUAGCGACGAUGGUCUACCCCAACCGCUGUCCACCUCAGUCAUGGUCACGAUUAAUAUUACUGAUGACAACGAGCGCCCUUUCUUCUCUCAACCUGAGUAUCAUGAGGAAGUUGAGGAGAACACAAAGUUAGAUGGCGUGCUUAUAACAGUGACUGCGCAGGACCGGAAGGGGGGAAAGAUAGUUAAAUGCAAUUGCACCUACCGUCUUGAUGCAUCCAACAGUUCUUACACGAUUGAUGAUGUCACCGGGAAUUUGACUGUGAAUGUGAGUGGGUAUGAUAGAGAGAAGGAGCCAUUUAUCACCCUGACGGUGGUGGCGAGGGACGAGGGAGGUAAGGAGACCAGCGCCAGGGUCAAUAUCACAGUGCUGGACCAGAAUGACAAUGACCCAAAGUUUCUGGAGGAUUUCCAGUUUGAAGUCUAUCAGGAGGCCCCAGUCGGCACGUGCUUUGGUAUGGUGAGAGCAGACGACAAGGAUGAGGGAAUGAAUGCCGUCACACUGUACAAGAUCAUCAGGGAUUCCAACACUUCCAGUAACUACAACGAUAGCGUGAUCGUCAUUGAAGAAACCACUGGAAAACUGUGUAGCAAUGAAUCCCUGAACAUUGGGGCAGUCAGAGACUUCACGGAACACGUAAGGGUGGAAGCUAUUGAUAAAGGUGACCGCAACAGGAGAAACAGAGUGACUGUGUCUGUGAUAAUCAAAUACAACGACACAAACCAGCACCAUCCUGAAAUCCAGCAGGUCAAACAAGGCGAUAUUGAACCAAUCAGUCUGAAGAGUCGUCAAACGAAUAUACCUGUCACGACCUUGAGUGCAAAUGACCCUGACGAGGGGAAGGACGGCGAGGUGGAGUUCAGCAUACUGGAAGGAAACGUUCUGGACAUGUUCACGAUAGACAGAGAUACGGGCGACCUGUCGUUCAGCAGUAAGAUUACGAUGAUAGGGAGCCAUCCAGUCUAUUUAACUGUUCAAGCUACGGACAAGGGUGUCCAUCCAAAAUCAAGCACUUUGAAGCUCAAUUUGACCUUGGAAGGUGAAAAGGAGAGCUACAUCGCUGAUAAAGUCAAAUCCGCAGAAGAGUUUAUGACCUACACGUGGUCGCUAGUGGGCGUUGCCUGCUUCCUCAUCCUAGUCACGGCGGCUGCGGUUUUCGGGUUUUGCCAGUCCCGUAUAAAGGCCCAUAGGGAGUUAUAUGACGGCCAUCGGAGGACUUUCAAUGGUAUGAAGCAUAACGUGAGCUACGGUGUUAACAUGCCACAGAUGCACAUGUUACAGCAGGGUUGGACAGACACAAACGCACAAAGAAGAACACGCUUUAGAUCUGACAGUACCAGUUUUGAAAGUAGUCUAGACAGGUACCCCCCAGAGAGAGAUGUGUCCGAGGAGUUCGACCAGAGGAGGAGUUUCAAAAUUUCGGUGUUUGAUCCAUCCCCAGAGCGACAUGCCCCGGCGCCCCAACUCCCACCACCCAGGGAAUCUAGUGGGCCAUUAAUUCCUAAACCUGAUUAUGAUUAGCAAAUGUCAUGUACCAUUGUAUGAGUUGCAUAAAGUAUUGAAGUAUCAUUUUUACAUCUUUGAUUGCGAGUUUUCAGGGAAACACUUUAUAUAUGAUUGAAAUUGCUUUUUCAUGCCCCAUUGCUUUACCAUGUGAUUAUAAUAUUUAUGUUUAUAACCAAAUAUUUCUUGCAGCAAACUGUUUCGUAAUAUUUCAGUUAUAUACUCAACACCACAUUGUGAUUGUUUUGUUUACUUUACGCUCCUGGAAUACUUGUGCACGGGUAUUUUACCACUAAUUAUUACUAUAUAUCUACUGUACCUUCAUUAAAUUGUUAUCCAUUGUUCGUAAUGUUCCAUGUCUUAUGAAUGAUGCAUUUUCAAAUCAUUACAUUAAAAGAUUUUUCCCGUUGU
rnacentral:sRNA from 1 species